rnacentral:lncRNA from 1 species
UGACCACAAAAACCCUAGCCGCCUGCCCUCGCCGGAGAAGACGAACCAGACGCCGGAGGAGCCGGCCGCCGCCACCCGCCGCCGCACCGGGGAGUUUUUCGAUCGCCGAUCGAGGUAAAUUUCAUACUCCCGGCUCGUUUUUCAACGCUGAGUUCCCCUGUGGCCAAAUCAGAGCCAAAAUUCCGGCCAAACAGCCGGAAAACACGACCAAAACCCAGCGCCGCCGCCGCGUCCCUCCUCGAUUUUUGCCUCCGAUGAGGCCCUUCCCGGCCUCCGUUUGAUACAAUUUUUAUAUCACCGUGAUCACCAUUCUUUUCUCUACAGGUUAAUCGGAGCCAAAUCACCAAAACACGAACCUCGCCGGAGAGCCGCCGCACUCGAGAGCACCGCCGCCGGUAAGCUUCGGUUUUUUCGUAUUUUUUUGGCCCCCGAGGGCCCUAGGGUUGUUUUAUCACGGGGACCGAUGCAAGUGUGGCCGAAUUCAGCCGGAAACGGCAGAAAACAGCCAACCCGAGGCGAAUCGUCGCUGCAAGCGACGGCGCCGUCGCCAGAGCACGGCGGAGCCGUCGUGCCAGAAUUGCGAUAUUGGCCGAAAGGGGCCCUGGGUCUAAUUUGGGAUUUUUUGGGACACGUGCAGGUACCAGUAGUGCGUUUCAGUUCCC